UUCUAUGUUAAAUGUAAACGAUCAGUUUUUAUUAUAAAUACAAAACCACCUUUUAAGCGGUAAUACCUAUCACGCAUUAAACAACAUAUAUGAACAACCAUGUGAUUAUAAAGUCUCACGUUGGUUCCUCCGUGCAACUUCAUGCCUGACUUACAUUCAUAUUGUUCUUUCACCACACUUACGCUUCUCCAAAUUUAGAAAGAAGCUGUGUACACAGUGUUCUUGCGAGUUACAAUAACGCGUCCGGUUUGGCGGCAACUUCAAAGAGUGGACAUAUGGUUGCUCCUUCAGGUAGCUAUAAUUACCCUCUCUAUAAUGCAAUAUCGUAUUAUCCAUUUGUAAUGAAUGAUAGUAACACUAAAUCGGAUUGGAUUCAGUUAAAUCUACAUUUCUCAAGGUCUCUAACAUCGAGAUUUGAAAUAUCUUUCAUGUAAAUACCUUCUUUGUCAUGUGACUUGUAUAUAUUCAGAAUCGUACCUACGAACAAUGUAUUUGAACAAUGGCACAAGCAACGUGGUCUCUUUCUGUAAAACAUAGCACUCUUUAUUUCAGCCACAGCAAAGAUCCCGAACCACGUGCAGUCAGCAGAGUUACAGCGUCUUGUUACCGUCUUGCAGUUACGAUACAGAAUAUGUGCACAUAGCUUUCAAUGACCAGACGAAAAAAAGAAUUCAUUUCAAGUAUGUUGAGAAGAAAACGACCCAUCUCUGAAAAAAUCACCUCACCCAAGAAAAUACGACUCAUUCAUGAGAAUGAAAAGUGCAAAGUCUCCCAAGAAAUUGUCUUGUAAUAUAGCAUGUGAAUAAAUAAUUUUUUGAAAUAU